rnacentral:rRNA from 1 species
AGUGAACGCUGGCGGUAUGCCUAACACAUGCAAGUCGAACGGCAGCACAGUAAGAGGUUGCUCUUACGGGUGUCGAGUGGCGGACGGGGGAGGAAGACAUCGGAAUCUACUUCUUCGGGGGGGAUAACGUAGGGAAACUUACGCUAAUACCGCAUACGACCUACGGGGAUAAGCAGGGGAUCGUCGGACCUGGCGCGAUUGAAUGAGCCGAGGUCGGAUUAGUUAGUUGGCGGGGUAAAGGCGCACCAAGGCGACGAUCCGUAGCUGGUUUGAGAGGAUGAAUGCCCAGCUUGGAACUGAGAAACGUCCCAGACUCCUAGGGGGGGAAGCAGUGGGGACUAUUGGACAAUGCAGGCAUGCCUGAUCCAGCACUACCGCGUGGGUGAUGAAGGCCUUCGGGUUGUAAAGCCCUUUUGUUGGGAAAGAAGAGAAGCAGGUUAAUACCCCGCUGUUCUGACGGUACCCAAAGAAUAAGCACCGGCUAACUUCGUG